rnacentral:rRNA from 1 species
UGGGGAAUAUUGCACAAUGGGCGAAAGCCUGAUGCAGCGACGCCGCGUGAGGGAUGACGGCCUUCGGGUUGUAAACCUCUUUCAGCAGGGACGAAGCGCAAGUGACGGUACCUGCAGAAGAAGCACCGGCUAACUACGUGCCAGCAGCCGCGGUAAUACGUAGGGUGCAAGCGUUGUCCGGAAUUACUGGGCGUAAAGAGUUCGUAGGCGGUUUGUCGCGUCGUUUGUGAAAACCAGCAGCUCAACUGCUGGCUUGCAGGCGAUACGGGCAGACUUGAGUACUGCAGGGGAGACUGGAAUUCCUGGUGUAGCGGUGAAAUGCGCAGAUAUCAGGAGGAACACCGGUGGCGAAGGCGGGUCUCUGGGCAGUAACUGACGCUGAGGAACGAAAGCGUGGGUAGAGAACAGG